CUGCAGUAGAGACAAUUUUCUUAGCACAUCUGACCAUAAACAAGGGAACACUGCAGGUUCUCAAACUCGCUCAGUAUGUCAGGUUAUGUGAGUACAAGGUUAUUAUGUACAUAUAUAUAUUGGCCUCAUAUUCUGGUACACAUCUAUUCUAUAUAGGGGCAUAUUUAGCAACAAUUAAGAGUAUCACACCUAUAAAAAUGGCGUGCUAAUAUAUUACAUAUAGAGUAUACAUUAGAAAUAAUGUUUUAUGUGUUUUUUAUUUCUCAUCAUUGCCACUUUACUGCACAGGACAAAGUAUACCACAUGGCCAAAUUGAUUUAUUUGCACUCUGUUCUCUUAAAUAUAACUGUACAAAAUUGUAUUCUUUUUUUUCAAUGUGGUAGUCAUAGUUGUAGAUCCAAUAAAAUAAAAACUGGGAGGGGGCGGGGUUCUCUGGCAGGGCAAGUGGAUGUGGUGAAGACACCUGCUAUUAUAUAUAGUGGAUAUAGAAAGUGAAGUCAGGUUUCGUGACCUAUAAUAUGUAUCAAUCACAUCAUUUGGGCAAAAGAUACAACAGAAAAACUACAAUAAUCUGGUUGCAUAAGUGUGCACACCCUUAAAUAAUUUGUUGAAAUCUGUUGGAGCACUUUCAUUCCUAACAGUGAUAGUUUAAUGUGGACCGAACAAUAGAGGGGUAACUGCUGGAAGAAUGACGUAGAUGGCAGGUCGAAACUGUACACGGUUGUAAUCCCGGCUGCACGAGAGACUCAGGUAGGUAAAAUGAAACUCUAUUCUCACACAGGCGGGGCCACCAACCACAACGCUCCUUCGAGUUACGCUGUCGAAGUCCCGCUUUCUCCGUCCUUGUCUAACCAUUUUCACCAUGUGACUCACAUUCACAGUUCAGUAAAACCUGCAAAAUGUGGCAUAUUCCCCCAACUUGGGGUUUGAGACCAUUCACUGGUUACAUUUCAUUACACCUUACACCUCAGGCUGCAUUGCAGAGAACAUGGCCGCACCAUGGCAACAGCUUUUACCCCCAAAUCUCCCUCCACUGCGGAGUGGAGGACAAGAGAAGCCCUGCAGGUUGGAGCUGGAGCGUCCAGGGUCUUCACGUGUGCACUUGGGAUUAUCCUUAUAUAAAUACAAACCUGACAAUCGCUGGUCCUUUGCCAGGAUCUGGACAUUGAUUAACCAGGUCCACUUCUGUACGUCCCGUGAAUGGCCCUCAUUCGCUCUCUCUCUCUCUCGGUCUUCCUGUCCAAGAGGACCUGAGGUCUCCCGUUCACCAGAAUGCUGUUUGCCAACUGUUCAAGCAGCCAAAAAGAAGGUGAAAGGUCUGACUUGUGCGUUCCAGAGGUUCCUGAUUCAGGCCACGACCCCACAACAGACAAGAGCUUCGGCCCGGUUCUCUUCACGUCUGUUAGGCGAAAAUGUCUGAAACAGUGUUCAUAACUACAUAUCUACAGACAAGCACAGCUUUAUCAUGUAAAUACAGGAUUAAUAAAGACCUCAUCAAAAUAAAGCUCUUUCUGCGC
rnacentral:lncRNA from 1 species